AGCUCCAAUGGCGUAUAUUAAAGUUGUUGCGGUUAAAAAGCUCGUAGUUGGAUCUGCGGCCUAGGUGUGUGGUCCCCCGAUGGGUGGUCACUGCACGACCUGGCCUUGUAUUUCUGGUUUUCCCUUGGUGCUCUUCAUUGAGUGUCUUGGGUGGCUGGAGAGUUUACUUUGAAAAAAUUAGAGUGCUCAAAGCAGGCGUUUCAGCCUGAAUAGUGGUGCAUGGAAUAAUGGAAUAGGACCUCGGUUCUAUUUUGUUGGUUUACGGAACUCGAGGUAAUGAUUAAGAGGGACAGACGGGGGCAUUCGUAUUGCGACGUUAGAGGUGAAAUUCUUGGAUCGUCGCAAGACGGACUACUGCGAAAGCAUUUGCCAAGAAUGUUUUCAUUA
rnacentral:rRNA from 1 species